AUCGUCGCCUCGGGGAGCCUGGCGGACGGGUGAGUAACACGUGGGAACGUGCCCUUUGGUUCGGAACAACUCAGGGAAACUUGAGCUAAUACCGGAUGUGCCCUUCGGGGGAAAGAUUUAUCGCCAUUGGAGCGGCCCGCGUCUGAUUAGCUAGUUGGUGAGGUAAAGGCUCACCAAGGCGACGAUCAGUAGCUGGUCUGAGAGGAUGAUCAGCCACAUUGGGACUGAGACACGGCCCAAACUCCUACGGGAGGCAGCAGUGGGGAAUCUUGCGCAAUGGGCGAAAGCCUGACGCAGCCAUGCCGCGUGAAUGAUGAAGGUCUUAGGAUUGUAAAAUUCUUUCACCGGGGACGAUAAUGACGGUACCCGGAGAAGAAGCCCCGGCUAACUUCGUGCCAGCAGCCGCGGUAAUACGAAGGGGGCUAGCGUUGCUCGGAAUUACUGGGCGUAAAGGGAGCGUAGGCGGACUGUUUAGUCAGAGGUGAAAGCCCAGGGCUCAACCUUGGAAUUGCCUUUGAUACUGGCAGUCUUGAGUACGGAAGAGGUAUGUGGAACACCGAGUGUAGAGGUGAAAUUCGUAGAUAUUCGGAAGAACACCAGUGGCGAAGGCGACAUACUGGUCCGUUACUGACGCUGAGGCUCGAAAGCGUGGGGAGCAAACAGGAUUAGAUACCCUGGUAGUCCACGCUGUAAACGAUGAGUGCUAGUUUGUCGGCAGGCAUGCCUGUCGGUGACGCAGC
rnacentral:rRNA from 1 species